GUAGGUGGGCAAGCGUUGUCCGGAAUUAUUGGGCGUAAAGCGCGCGCAGGGCGGUUUUUUAAGUCUGAUGUGAAAGCCCACGGGCUCAACCGUGGAGGGUCAUUGGAAACUGGAGAACUUGAGUACAGAAGAGGAAAGCGGAAUUCCACGUGUAGCGGUGAAAUGCGUAGAGAUGUGGAGGAACACCAGUGGCGAAGGCGGCUUUCUGGUCUGUAACUGACGCUGAGGCGCGAAAGCGUGGGGAGCAAACAGGAUUAGAUACCCUGGUAGUCCACGCCGUAAACGAUGAGUGCUAAGUGUUAGGGGGGUUUCCGCCCCUUAGUGCCGCAGCUAACGCAUUAAGCACUCCGCCUGGGGAGUACGGCCGCAAAGGCUG
rnacentral:rRNA from 1 species